UCGUACGGGACACGGUUAGGGUAACUUGAGCGUGUUCAGUGGCGGACGGGAGAGUAAUACAUGGGCAACGUACCCUGAACUUGGGGAUAACUGCGGGAGCUUCGGCUCUCUUUAGCGAAAGUGUGGCUAAUACCCAAUGAAGUCGUUCGGUCGCAUGGCCGGACGACCAAAGGCGGGGACCGGGCAACCGGCCUGCUGGUUUUGGAGCGGCCCAUGACCUAUCAGCUUGUUGGCGAGGUAACGGCUCACCAAGGCUGCGACGGGUAGGGGGCGUGAGAGCGUGGCCCCCCUCAUCGGGACUGAGACACUGCCCGGACACCUACGGGUGGCUGCAGUAACGAAUCUUGGGCAAUGGGCGCAAGCCUGACCCAGCGAUGCCGCGUGCAGGAGGAAGCCCUUCGGGGUGUAAACUGCUGUCAGGGGCUAGCAAGCAAAGCCGGUGAAUAAUCGGCGGCGCUGAGCCGCCCCAGAGGAAGCCUCGACUAACUCUGUGCCAGCAGUCGCGGUAAGACAGAGGAGGCUAGCGUUGUUCGGAAUUACUGGGCUUAAAGCGGGUGUAGGCGGCUGCGCAAGUGUCCUGUGAAAGCCCACGGCUCAACCGUGGAACGGCAGGGCAAACUACGUAGCUUGAGGCCGGUAGAGGUGCCUGGAACUCU
rnacentral:rRNA from 1 species